rnacentral:rRNA from 1 species
UACGUAGGGUGCGAGCGUUUAAUCGGAAUUACUGGGCGUAAAGCGUGCGCAGGCGGUUUUGUAAGACAGAGGUGAAAUCCCCGGGCUCAACCUGGGAACUGCCUUUGUGACUGCAAGGCUUGAGUGCGGCAGAGGGGGGUGGAAUUCCGCGUGUAGCAGUGAAAUGCGUAGAUAUGCGGAGGAACACCGAUGGCGAAGGCAAUCCCCUGGGCCUGCACUGACGCUCAUGCACGAAAGCGUGGGGAGCAAACAGG